UACGUAGGGUCCGAGCGUUGUCCGGAAUUACUGGGCGUAAAGAGCUCGUAGGUGGUUUGUCGCGUUGUUCGUGAAAACUCACAGCUCAACUGUGGGCGUGCGGGCGAUACGGGCAGACUGGAGUACUGCAGGGGAGACUGGAAUUCCUGGUGUAGCGGUGGAAUGCGCAGAUAUCAGGAGGAACACCGGUGGCGAAGGCGGCUUUCUGGGCCUUACCUGACGCUGAGACGCGAAAGCGUGGGGAGCAAACAGG
rnacentral:rRNA from 1 species